CACGUAGGGGACGAGCGUUGUUCGGAUUCAUUGGGCGUAAAGGGUGCGUAGGUGGCGCCGUAAGUCGGGUGUGAAAUUUCGGAGCUUAACUCCGAACUGCAUUCGAUGACUGCGGUGCUUGAGGACUGGAGAGGAGACUGGAAUUCAUGGUGUAGCAGUGAAAUGCGUAGAGAUCAUGAGGAAGACCAGUGGCGAAGGCGGGUCUCUGGACAGUUCCUGACACUGAGGCACGAAGGCCAGGGAGCAAACGGG
rnacentral:rRNA from 1 species